CGCGUAGGCGGUCUCUUAAGUCAGAUGCGAAAGCCCGAGGCUUAACCUCGGAAGUGCAUUUGAAACUGAGGGACUUGAGUAUGGGAGAGGGAAGUGGAAUUCCUGGUGUAGCGGUGAAAUGCGUAGAUAUCAGGAGGAACACCGGUGGCGAAGGCGACUUCCUGGACCAAUACUGACGCUGAGGCGCGAAGGCGUGGGGAGCAAACA
rnacentral:rRNA from 1 species